rnacentral:rRNA from 1 species
GUGAACGCUGGCGGUAGGCCUAACACAUGCAGGUCGAACGGCAGCACCGUAAGAGCUUGCUCUUACGGGUGGCGAGUGGCGGACGGGUGAGGAAUACAUCGGAAUCUACUUUUUCGUGGGGGAUAACGUAGGGAAACUUACGCUAAUACCGCAUACGACCUACGGGUGAAAGCAGGGGAUCUUCGGACCUUGCGCGAUUGAAUGAGCCGAUGUCGGAUUAGCUAGUUGGCGGGGUAAAGGCCCACCAAGGCGACGAUCCGUAGCUGGUCUGAGAGGAUGAUCAGCCAAACUGGAACUGAGACACGGUCCAGACUCCUACGGGAGGCAGCAGUGGGGAAUAUUGGACCAUGGGCGCAAGCCUGAUCCAGCCAUACCGCGUGGGUGAAGAAGGCCUUCGGGUUUUAAAGCCCUUUUGUUGGGAAAGAAAAGCAGCAGGUUAAUACCCCGCUGUUCUGACGGUACCCAAAGAAUAAGCACCGGCUAACUUCGUG